rnacentral:rRNA from 1 species
CGGAGGAAAAGAAACUAACGAGGAUUCCCUUAGUAGCGGCGAGCGAAGCGGGAACAGCCCAAUAUGAAAAGCCUGCUUGCAGGCGUUGUAUUUUGAGCGUUCUUGGGGCGUCAGUGUGGGUAAGUCGUAUGGAAAUACGUGCCGUGGAGGGUGAGAGCCCCGUCCAGCCCACACAGGACGCGCCGUACGAGAACGUUUCAGAGGAGUCGGGUAGCUUGGGAAUGCUGCUCUAAUUGGUGGUAAAUCUCAUCAAAGGCUAAAUAUUGACUGGAGACCGAUAGCGAACAAGUACCGUGAGGGAAAGAUGACAAGCACUUUGAAAAGAGGGUGAAAAGAACCUGAAACCGUCACGGGGGAAGCGGAUUGCGUUGGACCGAUGGGUCUCUUUUUGCGUGUUCAGCCUUGUUAAGGUGCAUUGGCGCAGAGACUUACCCGCCGUGGGUUCUUGGUGGUCGAGAUUGGGCCGCCGGGGGCUGAGGGCUCCCUUUCAGAGGUGAGGACGGUGGGGCGACGACGCGAUACGACCCGUCUUGAAACACGGACCAAGGAGUCUAGCGCGGGUGCGAGUCAAAGGGUGCAAGCCCGUGGGCGUAGUGAAAGCGAUGUUUUUUUUUUAAAAUGAAAACGGAGCAGUUUGAGGCGGCAUAAGAUCGUUGAUCUUAAGACCGACCUAGAGCAGUUGCGCUGGGACCCGAAAGAUGGUGAACUAUGCCGGAGUAGGGCGAAGCCAGAGGAAACUCUGGUGGAGGCUCGUAGCGGUGCUGACGUGCAAAUCGCUCGUCGAACUUGGGUAUAGGGGCGAAAGACUAAUCGAACCAUCUAGUAGCUGGUUCCCUCCGAAGUUUCUCUCAGGAUAGCGGGCCGACGGUACAGGUUGUUUUGUGCGGUAAAGCGAAUGAUUAGCGCAUUCGGGGGCUUCUAGCCUUUGGGCGAUUCUCAAACUUUAAAUGCGCAAGGGUGCCGCUGCUUUGUUGAGCGGUACCGGGAAAAACGUCGGCCCUGUGGGCCACUUUUGGUAAGCAGAACUGGCGAUACGGGAUGAACCGUAAGUGUGGUUAAGGCGCCUAACUGCCCGCUUAUAGAUCCCAAAAAAGGUGUUGAUUCAUCGAGACAGCAGGACGGUGGCCAUGGAAGUCGGAAUCCGCCAAGGAGUGUGUAACAACUCACCUGCCGAAUGAAUUAGCCCUGAAAAUGGAUGGCGCUGAAGCGGGUGGCCGACACCACGCCGUCUGACUAAAAAUUUUUUUAUUUGUUGGAUGAGUAGGAGGGCGUGGCGGUCGUGUGGAAGCUUGCGUGCAGACGCGAGUGGAACGGCCGCUAGUGCAGAUCUUGGUGGUAGUAGCAAGUAUUCAAGCGAGAUCCUUGAAGGGCGAAGCGGGGAAGGGUUCCACGCGAACACUGAUUGGGCGUGGGUGAGUCGUUCCUAAGCCGAGUGGCAAUUGCUAAGUAUCGGCGAAAGGGAAGCGGGUUGACAUUCCCGCACACGGAUGUGGACGCGGUGACGCGUAUUGGGGCGAAUACGCUGGCGACGGCGCUGGGCAGAGUUGUCUUUUCUGUUUGACCUAGCGCGCGCGCUGUGUGGAAUCCGCUUGUCGGGAGAAACACGCGCGUCAGGGCAGAGCGCCGGGGCUUUUCCGGCGUCCAGCUCGCCGUCGACGGCCCUUGAAAAUUUGCCUGCUGAUCUUUUUUUUAAAAAUUCCACGCCGUGGCGUACCGAUCACCGCAUCAGGUCCCCAAGGUGAACAGCCUCUGCUCGAUAUGAACAAUGCAGGUAAGGGAAGUCGGCAAAUUAGACCCGUAACUUUGGGAUAAGGGUUGGCUCUAGUGCUGCGUGGGAGUGGUUGCUGAGUGUCUCGGGGCGGUGAGCGAGGCUGGCGUGGCGCGGGGCCUGGAUUUGAAAUUUAUUUCUCAUUUGGGACCUGUUCUUGCUGCCGCGUCCGCUGUUCCGCAUUCGGCGACGCCCACAGCAUGCAGCAGACUAGAACUGCAACGGGCAAAGGGAAUCCGACUGUUUAAUUAAAACAAAGCAUUGCGAGGGCCGUGGCCGGUGAUGACGCAAUGUGAUUUCUGCUCAGUGCUCUGAAUGUCAAAGUGAAGAGAUUCAAUCAAGCGCGGGUAAACAGCGGGAGUAACUAUGACUCUCUUAAGGUAGCCAAAUGCCUCGUCAUCUAAUUAGUGACGCGCAUGAAUGGAUUAACGAGAUUCCUACUGUCCCUAUCUGCUUCUAGCGAAACCACAGCCGGGGGAACGGGCUCGGCGAAAUCGGCGGGGAAAGAAGACCCUGUUGAGCUUGACUCUAUUCUAAUUUUGUGAAGCAAGUUGGGAGGUGUAGCAUAGGUGGGAGCGCUUGCGCGUCCGUGAAAUACCACUACUCCCAGUCUUGCUUUACUUACUGGGUUGGUGUGGAUGAGCCUUGCGGCUCUGUUCUGGAACCAACAAAUUUCUGUUUAUUCAAAUUUGGACCACAGCCCAGCACACAUUUAGGAGGGGAGUUUGGCUGGGGCGGCACAUCUUCUACAAGACAACGAAGGUGUCCAAAGAUAAGCUCAGUGAGAACAGAAAUCUCACGUAGCGCAAAAGGGUAAAAGCUUGUUUGAUUUCGAUUUUCAGUGCCAGUCGAAAACGCGAAAGCGUGGCCUAUCGAUCCUUUCACUAUUCGAGAUUUGAAGCGAGAGGUGUCAGAAAAGUUACCACAGGGAUAACUGGCUUGUGGCGGCCAAGCGUUCAUAGCGACGUCGCUUUUUGAUCCU